CUGUGCCAGGUUGCAAGCUGGGGCACAUGGGCAGGGACUCUUUCCCCCAGCAACAGUAACAGAGGACUUUGUUGUGCCUGAGAAAUCAGUUUGUUUAUUUAGUGUCUGGUGCAUUCUUUUCUCCUGUGCAGUUUUUUAUUAUGCAUGGGAGCAAUAAUGGUACACGUGGCAACUUCUCUGAGUGUUGUGGGCUGUCUCUAGGCUUGGGCAGUAUUACUGCAGGAUUGUGCAGGGUUGUUUUUUAACGGAUUUCGUGUAUGUAUUUUUAUAGUUUUUCAUUUCUGCUGCAAGCUACUUUGGAGUUGCGUGCGUCAUUGACUGCAGGGAGCUGGGAUCUGCUUUGAAGCCCUGUAAGGUGAAAGGCGAAAAGCAGCUCAGGGAGCAUGGCCCAUGCAUGGAGGAUAUCUGGCUACUGGUAUCUGCAGGUGCAAUGGGCCAGCUCUGAUCUAGUCUGCUGGGGCUUGAAAAAGGAGCAUACUUUGUUUGGCCUGCCUGACUCCUGUCUUUGGAUUUUGUUCUGUUGUUUGCUUUGCCAGUUCUUAGCAUGCAAUUAAAAGUACUCAGACAGUGACUGAGAUUUUAAAUUAAUUCAGUUUGAGUGAACAUGCUCACGAACUUCAACACUAGUUUGCGUGCUGUGCCUAUAAAAACAAUGGUUAGACUGGUGUGAAUAUUGGGCAAGAGUCAAUUUCCAAGCCACACAGAUAAACAGAUGUAGAAAUCAACCUCUAUGUACAAGUACUUCUGUGCUUUGCUGGUCUGUUAAAUGGUUUAUUUUUCCCUAACAAAUUACAGCCAUGCAACACAACUUGGAUUUUGAUUACUUAUGAUCAAUCCACAUUGUCAAAAUUUUGAAACAGUGUUAAUCAAACGCAAUUGAAUAAAAAAUGCAUGUAACUGCUGCA
rnacentral:lncRNA from 1 species